rnacentral:lncRNA from 1 species
CCUGCUAAGAUUCCUCUUUGCAGGGUUGGGUCCCAAAAAGCCAAUAUUUCACUGGAAGCAUUUGUUGAAUCACAGUCUAGAAUAUAAGGAGACACUGACCAUGGGGAUUAUAUGUUAUAGUACUGAUUAUGAGUUAGGCUUGGCUGAAUUUGUACCCUGAUUGCUAUACCUUUUAUUUUCAAGGAUGUGUACUGUGUCAGAGCUCUUGUGUGGAGUUCAGCAAAAGAAAAAAGGAGAGCUCUUACUGACCUGAAUAUUAGUUUCAAGCUGAAUUCAUCUCAUGUUUGCACACUGAUCAUAAGGGGAGCUAUUUUAAACUCUCUUGGGGGUGUACCUUCUUCACAGCAAAAUAAAGACCAUGAAAAGGCACUUAACCUCUCCUGGGAUAGUAAGAAUUUCUUCGAUGUGGAAGAUUUUUAUCAUCCUAAAAUGCCCAUUUUCUAUGAUAAAUUCCUGUGGCCUUUGAAUGUUUUUCACACCAUAACAAAAAUAAACUUGUUUAAUGGAGCUACAUUCAUGACCAAGUCCAUGAACAGAAACAAAGAACUGAGAGUACCAAACCAACUGGCACCAUUUAAAUGUGGCACUUUGACUGUAUAUCCUGACAAGACUACCUUAUUAAGGAGAAAAAUGUACAGUAGGUCAUUCUUGGACUCAAUCAGAAGAUUUCAUGGUAGCAGUUAAAUGCUGAAUCUUUUAAAAAAUCUAGAAUCUUUUUUUUUUAUGAUGUCCAUUUCAAUGUAAUUGUUACUGUUAAUGAUCUUGCUGUUUUAGAGAAUCUUUAAAUAAAGUAGUGCCACACUUUGUGGGACA